UACAGAGGGGGCAAGCGUUGUUCGGAAUUACUGGGCGUAAAGGGCGCGUAGGCGGCCUGUUAAGUCGAACGUGAAAUCCCCGGGCUCAACCCGGGAACUGCGUCCGAUACUGGCAGGCUUGAAUCCGGGAGAGGGAUGCGGAAUUCCAGGUGUAGCGGUGAAAUGCGUAGAUAUCUGGAGGAACACCGAUGGCGAAGGCAGGUCUCUGGGCCACUACUGACGCUGAGAAGCGAAAGCAUGGGGAGCGAACAGG
rnacentral:rRNA from 1 species